rnacentral:tRNA from 1 species
UCACUGGUGGUCUAGUGGUAGAACAAUACCCUGCCAUGGUACAGACAUAGGUUUAAUUCCCAACUGGUGUA